rnacentral:misc_RNA from 1 species
AGACUCAACCCUCAAGGUUUCCCUUGAAUGGUUGGAUUUGGGCGUCUGCCAUUAAGCCUGGCUCGCCUUAAAUGCGUUAGUGGGACCGUUGCUCUCAUGCCUGGCGUAAUAAGUUUCGCUUGUGCUAGAGCGAUGGGACUGCUCACAACCCCCCAUACUUUGA